CCCGCGGACCCCUUAAAUCCAGGGUCAAUGCGCGGGAGGUAAACUACGAUCGAGCCCGGAAAUAAACUACAACUCCCGGCAUGCCCGAGGGGGCGGGCGCGGCGGCUGCGCAGACGGGCGCGCAGGCGGUCACGAGACUACAGCAUGGCGGUGUUUGCAGACUUGGACCUGCGAGCUACUGGGGACCUCAAGUCCCUCCGAGGACUGGUGGAGACCGCCGCUCACCUUGGCUAUUCGGUGGUUGCCAUCAAUCAUGUGGUGGACUUUAAGGAAAAGAAACAGGAAAUUGACAAGCCAAUAGCCGUCUCUGAACUCUUCACAACAUUACCAAUUGUACAGGGAAAAUCAAGACCAAUUAAAAUUUUGACAAGAAUAACAAUCGUCGUUUCAGAUCCAUCUCACUGUAAUGUUUUGAGAGCAACUUCUUCAAGGGUUCGGCUGUAUGAUAUUGUUGCUGUUUUUCCAAAGACUGAGAAACUUUUUCAUGUGGCUUGCACACAUUUGGAUGUGGAUUUGGUCUGCAUCACUGUGGCAGAGAAACUACCAUUUUACUUCAAAAGACCCCCUAUUAAUGUGGCGAUUGACCGAGGCCUGGCCUUUGAGCUUGUCUAUGGCCCUGCUAUCAAAGACUCCACAAUAAGAAGGUACACGAUUUCCAAUGCACUCAAUCUGAUGCAGAUCUGCAAAGGAAAGAAUGUAAUUAUAUCCAGUGCUGCUGAAAGGCCUUUAGAAAUAAGAGGACCAUAUGACAUAGCAAAUUUAGGGUUGCUGUUUGGACUCUCUGAAAGUGAUGGCAAGGCUGCUGUGUCCACCAACUGCCGAGCAGUGCUUCUCCAUGGAGAAACCAGAAAAACUGCUUUUGGAAUCAUUUCCACGGUGAAAAAACCUCGGGCAGCAGAAGAGGAGGAAGAUUCUCUCCCAGCAUGCAAGAAGGCUAAGUGUGAGGGCUCACAAGCAAGCCCGAGCCUCCUCAAGUGCAUCACCCCCACCCCUUUUCUAGCUAAUCAGCCUCAACAAAAAUAAAACUGUUUUAGUCAUUUACAAUUUUUAUUUGAAGCUGAAAAUCAAUAGCUUAUAAAAAUAUUACAGUCAAGUCAUUAAGACAAUAAACAGAACCUAGUGAAGCAUUUCUAAAAGCUUCCAGCUUAAUAGAUUUAGGUAUGCUUGAACAGGAAAGCAGGGACCGGUCCAGUCACCCUUUGUGUGUGUGAUAAAUAACAGCAAAAAUAUUUGAGUCUUUCCAUAUUUUAAGAUAUUUUCAAACUGUUCAUUCCCAAACUAAUGCCUCUCUACAUGAUAUAUACAGUGGCUGAUUUCCCAAUCUUACCACUCGUAAUAAGUUUGAGGAUCAUUAGAACAUAUAAAGAGGAAGACUUUUAAUAAAUCUAUUUUUGUUUCAAACUCCUCUUUCAAGCAUUUAUCAAGUUAGCAUUCUUACAGGAAGGAGAGAAGAUCUUCCUGCUAAUACUGACUCCAGCAACCAGUUGUGAUGGAUCAAGUGGAUUCUUGUUGCCUGCAUGAGUACCUGGAUUGAUUUUAUGGCUCCCAGCUUUGGCCCGUUCAAGGCCCAACCAUUGCAGACACUUACAGAGUAAGCCAGUGAUAGGAAUUUUCCCUCUUUUUUCGUUCCCUCCCCUUUUCAAAACAAA